CGUAAACAGAGGGAAGCGAGCCUGCGAGGGGAGCGAAUCCCAAAAAUAACGUCCCAGUUCGGAUUGUAGUCUGCAACCCGACUACAUGAAGCUGGAAUCGCUAGUAAUCGCGGAUCAGAAUGCCGCGGUGAAUACGUUCCCGGGUCUUGUACACACCGCCCGUCACACCAUGGGAGUCGGAAAUGCCCGAAGUCUGUGACCCAACCUUAGGGAGGGAGCAGCCGAAGGCAGGUCGGAUGACUGGGGUGAAGUCGUAACAAGGUAAC
rnacentral:rRNA from 1 species